rnacentral:rRNA from 1 species
UACGAAGGGGGCUAGCGUUGCUCGGAAUCACUGGGCGUAAAGGGUGCGUAGGCGGGUCUUUAAGUCAGGGGUGAAAUCCUGGAGCUCAACUCCAGAACUGCCUUUGAUACUGAGGAUCUUGAGUUCGGGAGAGGUGAGUGGAACUGCGAGUGUAGAGGUGAAAUUCGUAGAUAUUCGCAAGAACACCAGUGGCGUAGGCAGCGCCCUGGCUGUGAAUAAAGCUGACACUGAGGCACGAAAGCUGGGGGAGCAAACAGG